rnacentral:lncRNA from 8 species
GUUGUGUUCAACGGACCUCAGUCUCCUGCGCCUGACUCAUCCCUCCUGCUAUUUAUCUGCCCGUGACAAUAAGUAUGUUUAUACAUAUUGAGGCCUUUUCCAGACAUGUGACAAUGACGUUUACAAUCGAGUGCAUACCAUGGAAAGGUCCCUAACAUGUCUACUUUGUGGUAUAUGGCCCAUACUGUAUCUGGUAUCUGGCCAUAGGCUACACCUUGUUAUCUUAACUUAACCGACCCCAAGAAAACUGAUGAGAUAACCAAGAACAGCCGACCUCAAGUUAACGUUUCACUUUCCUUUUUUUUCGCUACCUAUCCUGGCAAGACAUAUUCUAAAACUGUUUUUAGAAAAUAAAACGCUAAGACUAUUGCAGUAGUUAACCGUCUCGAGCAUUCUUCUGGAGCAUGCUAUUCUUCUUCCCUGGUAUCUUCCCUGAACGAGAGGCGCGCCGAAGUGUUCAUUAUGGAGUGGGCUACUCUAGCCUCCUAUUACGUCUCACUGAACUUUGUGGUCACUCCCACAAACGAAUUCGUGUUUUCUGACUAACUUCCCAGCAGUUUUCAUACCAAACGUUACACAUCGUAGAAGUGGAAAAUACAGUCAAAUCUGAUUGAAGAGUUCAUAACUUUUUCAACCUGAGUCCUUGAACCAUAUCUUUCUGUGCGCUUGUUCUACAUUCCAACUGCGAGUGAAAGUAACGCAAGACCCAACAUGGACGAGGCAGAGAAGUACCAGCAGAGAGUGCAGGCUAUAGCGGACAAGCGACGUAAGCAGCAGGACGACGAGAAAGCAAGGCGAGAGAUGGAGGAGGAGUGGCUGAUGCAGGCCCAGCGCAAGCGGAAGUCCUUGAGGGACCAGUGGCUGAGCGAGAACCCUCAGCCUGUCCCUGGGCACAGCGCUGAGAACUACACAGAGGAGUUGCCAACUGAAGAGGAUAUAGUGGAGGUCAUUGAAUCCACAAGCUACACAGUCACCAAUGCCCAGAACCACAGCCAGGCUGACAUUGAAGAGGGUGGGAUACAAGACGUCAUCAGAGCUGCUGGGGGUCAGCUCCCUGGGCCAGUAAUGGAGAGGGUUCUCCAUGAGAAUGGACUGGAAGGUCGAUCAGUGCUGGGGAUGGUUACAGUGCAGGUGGAGAGGGAUUCAAAGACAGGGGUCACCAAGAUCAGGUCUGUGGUGCCCGUGUCUGGAGCACCCAGGGCCUUGGGGGAGACGGUGUUCAAUGACAGCAGGAAGAGCGUCCACCACGUCGGCGGGGCAGAGGGGCAGCCUUCUGCUGAGGAGCUGGGACAGCUCCUUAGUGUCAUCAACGAUGUCGGGAUGCAAGUGCUGCUGGAUGAGAUCCCAGUUGUACCACAACAGAAGGCAGAGGAGAAGAUAGAGGCUGGUAGUGGGAUGGAAGAGGAGGUGGAGGACCCUGCCACACCUACAACCCUGGGCUACACUGAGGAAGAGGUUGAGGUUGUGGGGUAUAAGGUUGAUGAGAUGGACAAGGAGAUAGAAAUAGGAGUGGCGGAAAUUGUGGAGGGCCCUAUCCGACCGACCGACCUGGGCUACACUGAGGAAAAGGUUGAGGAUCUGGGCUAUGAGGAUGAUGAGAUGGACAAGGAGACAGGAGUAGGUCAGGUAGACCUUGUUGAGGGCACUGUCACACUGACCUUCCUGGGCUACACUGAGGUAAAGUCAGAGAGCGAGGGUCUGGGCCAUGAGGAUGAUAGAGAGUUGGUGGAGGUGGAGCGGGUGAUCAUUUCUGACGCGGGUGAGGAGGAGAUUGUUCUUCAGUCUCCUGUUCUUGGGUCUGAGACUGAACCCUUCCUGGGCUACACUGAACAAGAGGUUGAGGCUGUGGUGCAUGAGGAUGGUGAGGAGGACGUGAGUGGAUUGGUUGUCUUUGUGGAGGGCCCUGUCCCACCUGUCAUCCUGGGCUACACUCAGGAAGAGGUUGAGGAUCUGGGACAUGUGGAUGAUCCCCCCAGACCAACCCCACGCUACAGAGCCGAGGAAACAGGAAAGAGGGCAUCCAAACACAAUACCAAGUGCUGCUCUAUCAUGUGAUUCUGCACAUGAUAGAGCAUUACCCCCCCCCCCCCCCCCAUUCCUCUAAGCUAUGCCACUCAUGAUGAAUGGUCUGUAUGCGUGGCCUAAAUCUACAACAUUGUCUAAAUUGCACAGGAUGUGCUCCAGAGAAGCGUGCACUUGCUCCUCGUCUAAAAUGUCACUGGUAUCCUCUGAGACUACCGUCCCACAUGGCUUGUGUCAUGGAGUGUUUACUGUUAUCCUCCGCUCUUCAAACAGCUCUGUGAACAGACUCCAGUGUGACUGUUACAAAGCCCUUCUGCCUCCUGCUGGACACAGUUCAGUAAUGCAACUAGGUUUUACUGCCAGAAUCCCAGCAGCACUCAUCUCACACUCCUCCUCUGCCUUUGGGAUUGGUUGUAUCAGGCCAAAAAAAGUACUCAGCAUUAUGUCCUCUAGGAAUGAACCAAAGAAGAAGAAUAGAACAACCACUGAUCUGUUUCUUUUUGGAAAUAGAUUUUUAAAUAUUAAUCUCAGAAAUGCCUGAUGUGCCUAUUUCAAUUUCAAUGGCAACUAACCCUUUUGUUCUCUACUUUUAGAGUGUCCUCUACUUUUAUGGUGUCCUCAUCAGUAAUACAAAUGUUAUGGUUAUGAGUAUUCCGGCAGUGACCAAAACAGUCUGUUAAAGAAGGGUUGGUUGCAAUUACAUCUAUUCAGUGUGAUUUGUAUGUGUAAGUGUGUUUGAUAGUUGACUUUUGAUUUAGCCAUGUCUGUUAAUGAAGGUGGACAAAAACAAAACUGGAAUGUGUGUGUGAUUAUCAAAACAAAAUAUAUUUCAUAUUCUUAAGAUUUUUGUUUGUCUCGUUCUUUCCUUUUGAUUAGCAGUAGCAACGUUCCUGUCAGGACGUUCAUGUAUAGGACUCUUUAUUGCAAAUGAGCUGUGACAUACCAUUAAAGACACGCUAUGGAACUUUGGCGACUAUUAAGUCUUUUUUUUAACCUCCAGCUUUGGGCUGGAUGUGUCAAUGUGUAGUUCAUACAUACUUAAUAUAUGAGCAGAAUUACUGUCUUACCACAAUUAGCCAUGAAAUCCCUAGUAUAAAAGAGAUAGUAUUUUUCUGGAAGAUGUGCUAUGCCAUUUUCCCUAA